rnacentral:rRNA from 1 species
GAGUUUGAUCAUGGCUCAGAUUGAACGCUGGCGGCAGGCUUAACACAUGCAAGUCGAACGAUGAUUACUAGCUUGCUAGUAUGAUUAGUGGCGAACGGGUGAGUAAUGCUUAGGAAUCUGCCUAUUAGUGGGGGACAACAUUCCGAAAGGAAUGCUAAUACCGCAUACGUCCUACGGGAGAAAGCAGGGGAUCUUUUGACCUUGCGCUAAUAGAUGAGCCUAAGUCGGAUUAGCUAGUUGGUGGGGUAAAGGCCUACCAAGGCGACGAUCUGUAGCUGGUCUGAGAGGAUGAUCAGCCACACUGGGACUGAGACACGGCCCAGACUCCUACGGGAGGCAGCAGUGGGGAAUAUUGGACAAUGGGCGAAAGCCUGAUCCAGCCAUGCCGCGUGUGUGAAGAAGGCCUUUUGGUUGUAAAGCACUUUAAGUGGGGAGGAAAAGCUAAUAAUUAAUACCCUAUUAGCCCUGACCGUACCCACA